GAUGAACGCUGGCGGCGUGCCUAAUACAUGCAAGUCGAGCGGACGGACGAGAAGCUUGCUUCUCUGAUGUUAGCGGCGGACGGGUGAGUAACACGUGGAUAACCCACCUAUAUUUCUGGGAUAACUUCGGGAAACCGGAGCUAAUCCCGGAUAAUCUUUUGCACCGCAUGGUUCAAAAGUGAAAGACGGUCUUGCUGGCUCUUAUCGAUGGAUCCGCGCUGCAUUAGCUAGUUGGUAAGGUAACGGCUUACCAAGGCAACGAUGCAUAGCCGAACUGAGAGGGUGGUCGGCCGCACUGGAGCUGGGACACGGUCCAGAGUACUACGGGAGGCAGCAGUAGGCAAUAUGCCGCAGUGGGCGGAAGCCUGGCGGAGUGAGGCCGCGUGAGUGAUGACGGUCUUCGGUGCGUGAAACUCUGUUAUUAGGGAAGAACAUAUGUGUACGUAGAUGUACAGAUCUUGACGGUACUUAGUCAGAAAGCCACGGCUAACUACGUG
rnacentral:rRNA from 1 species